AUUGAACGCUGGCGGCAGGCCUAACACAUGCAAGUCGAGCGGAUGAAGGGAGCUUGCUCCUGGAUUCAGCGGCGGACGGGUGAGUAAUGCCUAGGAAUCUGCCUGGUAGUGGGGGAUAACGUCCGGAAACGGGCGCUAAUACCGCAUACGUCCUGAUGGAGAAAGUGGGGGAUCUUCGGACCUCACGCUAUCAGAUGAGCCUAGGUCGGAUUAGCUAGUUGGUGGGGUAAAGGGCUACCAAGGCGACGAUCCGUAACUGGUCUGAGAGGAUGAACAGUGACACUGGGAAUGAGAAACGGUCCAGAAUCCUACGGGAGGGACAAAGAGGGAAGGUUCGGCAAUGGGGGGAAGACUGACACAGGCAGGGCCGGUGUGUGAAGAAGGGUUUCGGGUUGUAAAAAUCUGUAAGUUGGGAAGAAAGGCAGUAAGAUUAAAACUUGCCGUUUUGACGGUAACAAAAAAAAAAGCCACGGCUAACUUCGUG
rnacentral:rRNA from 1 species